rnacentral:lncRNA from 13 species
CUACACUGAAGACAGCUUAGGGGGCAGAAAACACAUGGUACCCAAUAUAUCCUUUCAAAAGGAGAGGAGGAGAAAGGGCUGAGCUACUCAUGUGUAGUUCUUUCCCCCUACUUGCCAAUCAAAAAAAAAAAAAAAAAAAAAAAAAAAAAGAAAAGAAAAGAAAAGAAAAAAGAAAAAGAAGAUAAAGCCCUAAGCAGAAACAACGCAGACGAUAUGGGAAGAAUAACCUGGUAUCAUAGAUUACUUAAUAGUCAAAGAUGUUUACUGCCUGACUCUACCACCACAGGAAGAGUAAAUUUUUUCACCCUACUGAUGUUAGUCUUGACCAUAUAACUUGCUUUGGCCAAGAGAUAUUAGUAGACACAAUGUAAACAGUGGUUUAAAAUGUGCUUCAGUAGUUAGGCUUUCCCACCUGCACCUUUGCUAUUGCAAUGCUCAAAAUGUGCCUGGGUAGCCAAAUAGUCCUUGAAGAAUAAGUAACAUGUGGAAUAGAGAUGCCUCUGAUAACUUGCAGAAUUGAAGCACAGCUUAAAGAGUUACCUCAGCAGAUCCACUGACAUGGAAUCCAGAAAUAAGCGCUUACCAUGGUUUGUAAUUGAGUUUGGGGUGAUUUGUUACACAGCAGUGGCUGACUGUUACACCUAACUUCUCCCUUCCUCCUGUCUUCUGGUCUUUUACCCAUUCCUCCCAUUGGCUAAAACAAGUCAGAAAUCAGUUAAUGUAGGAUCUUGGGAAAUACUAUCUCUUUGUAAAACAGAUGAGAAAGGGAAGAGCAAAGAAUGGGUUGGGGUAUGAGGCUUGAAGAGUACAAAUAAGCAUCAUCCAUCACAGCUUCUUACAGCCUUAUAGUGACCAGCAUAAAACAGGUUAUUCAGUAAAUGAAGAUUAUUGUUAUUUUGGAAGAAAAAAAGUCUCUGGGAGGAUUAGGGCCCAACAUUGGGCUCAAGGUCACGUUCCAGGACAGUUUUCCUGGUUUCUGGUUGAACAUGAAUACUCUUGAGAAGCAGACCUCCUGAUAAGCAAUGCUUAAUAAUGCCCUUCAUGAUGAUGAUACAAGACACCUAACACUUAUGUAACAUUUAAUAUGAACACAGGCACCAUAUUAAGUUCUUUACUUGUAAUUUGAUCUUCAGAGCAACGCUAUGAGAUUGGUACUAAUAUAUAUUCAUUUUGCCAGUAAAAAAAUCGAUUCACAGAGAUUUUUCACUCAAAAUCACCUAUUUUUUUGAUAAAUCAAAAAAAUAUUUAUUAUCUCUAUGAUAAUAAAUAUCAAAGAGAGCAUUUAAAUUCA